GGUCUGUUAGUCUUAAUUGGUAGAGCAUAGUGCUACGGACACUAGUAUAUGAGUUCGAAUCUCAUACAGGCUU
rfam:Sordaria macrospora k-hell, WGS project CABT02000000 data, contig: 2.1583, organelle: mitochondrion